AGACUGGCAGGUGGUUAUAGAGGUGUUUGGGGUGUCAGCUCUGAAAUGCUAAAAAUAAAACCAGGCUUUCUAUCCUGGGAUGUCUCAUUAGUUUGCUUACAAAUGAGUCCCCCUGCAGUUUUUCAGCAAUUGGCUAACAAGCUCUAAUUUGAGCGUUUGGGCUGGACCUUGGCUCAGUGGGAGCAGACGCGGAGCAGACGCCUUCUCGGAGCUGCCUGUUUGGGGAAGCUGGUCGUUUCCACUCUAGCUCAGCCUCCCAGAACAGGGAAGCUGCAGGAAAGUUGACAAAAGCACAGCAAAGCAGGGAGAGCCUCCUCGGUAGAGAGCAACGACCAGGGAGCCACAUGCCAUUUGGAUUACUGCACUUUUCAAAGUACAUGGAAAGACUUGAGACAAUCCAGAGAAGAAUGACACAAACAAAAGGGCAGGACUCAUGAUGGAAAAGAGGCCCCAUGAGGAAAGGCUAAAGAGUCAGAACUACUGAAGCUAAAGAGGAAAACUCAAGUAACGAAACAUUAUUGCUUUCAAAUAUGUGACAGGUAUUUGGCUAGAA
rnacentral:lncRNA from 1 species